AUGCUGGUAGAACUCAGCUCCCUGACACACAAACCUCCCUGCUGCAUCUGGUUUAGUACCACAUCAAGUCUUUGCACAGCAAGCCUGGCUGACUGUGGCCUUCUCCUCCCAAGAGAGGAUGGCUAUCUUGUUUCCCCAGAGAAGAACAGACCAUGGUUUCUCUUCCAAAGGACACCCAUGUGCCUGUGUGCAGGAAGGAAACAUCUGUGGAGGGCUUGGAGAGGUCUCUUUUUGCUAAUCAGCUGCCCACUGUUGACUGAUUCCAACACUGUUUUAAUGGACCUGAGUGCAGCCCCAUACCUCCACAUGCAGAGAGAUCUCAAGGACAAACUUCUGCUUCUUGUUAUUUCAUCUCUGUUUUUCCUUUUAAUAUUGCCAUGA
rnacentral:lncRNA from 1 species